UGUUGUUUAGUAUUAUAUCAGU
rnacentral:miRNA from 1 species